UCCGAGUUGUCCCCGGCAGUCCUCUUAGAGUCCCCGGCAUUACCCGCUGGCAACUAAGAGCAGGGGUUGCGCUCGUUGCGGCACUUAAGCCAACACCUCACGGCACGAGCUGACGACAGCCAUGCAGCACCUGUGCUAGCCCCUUACGGACACGGGCUUUCACCCGCUUUAACUAGCAUGUCAAACCCAGGUAAGGUGGGGAUGACGUUUAGGAGCUCGAC
rnacentral:misc_RNA from 1 species